CCUACGGGACGCAGCAGUGGGGAAUAUUGGGCAAUGGGCGCAAGCCUGACCCAGCAACGCCGCGUGAAGGAAGAAGGCUUUCGGGUUGUAAACUUCUUUUCUCAGGGACGAGGCAAGUGACGGUACCUGAGGAAUAAGCCACGGCUAACUACGUGCCAGCAGCCGCGGUAAUACGUAGGUGGCAAGCGUUAUCCGGAUUUACUGGGUGUAAAGGGCGUGUAGGCGGGAAAGCAAGUCAGAUGUGAAAACCAUGGGCUCAACCCCGGACCUGCAUUUGAAACUGUUGGUCUUGAGGAUCGGAGAGG
rnacentral:rRNA from 1 species